rnacentral:rRNA from 1 species
UACGUAGGGUGCAAGCGUUAAUCGGAAUUACUGGGCGUAAAGCGUGCGCAGGCGGUUAUGUAAGACAGGGGUGAAAUCCCAGGGCUUAACCUUGGAACUGCAUUUGUGACUGCAUAGCUAGAGUACGGUAGAGGGGGAUGGAAUUCCGCGUGUAGCAGUGAAAUGCGUAGAUAUUGGGAAGAACACCGGUGGCGAAGGCGGCGACCUGGUCCGAUACUGACGCUGAGGAGCGAAAGCCAGGGGAGCAAACGGG